rnacentral:rRNA from 1 species
AUACAGGGGGUGCGAGCGUUAAUCGGAAUUACUGGGCGUAAAGAGUACGUAGGCGGUUGCUUAAGUCAGAUGUGAAAGCCCCGGGCUCAACCUGGGAACUGCAUUUGAAACUGAGUGACUAGAGUUUGAGAGAGGGGAGUAGAAUUCCGGGUGUAGCGGUGAAAUGCGUAGAGAUCCGGAGGAAUACCAGUGGCGAAGGCGGCUCCCUGGCUUAAAACUGACGCUGAGGUACGAAAGCGUGGGUAGCAAACAGGAGUAGAAACCCGGGUAGUCC